rnacentral:rRNA from 1 species
UACGGAGGGGCUAGCGUUGUUCGGAAUUACUGGGCGUAAAGCGUGCGUAGGUGGUUUGUUAAGUCUGUUGUGAAAGCCCCGGGCUCAACCUGGGAAUGGCAAUGGAUACUGGCAGGCUAGAGUGCGGUAGAGGGUAGUGGAAUUCCCGGCGUAGCGGUGAAAUGCGUAGAGAUCGGGAGGAACACCAGUGGCGAAGGCGGCUACCUGGACCAGCACUGACACUGAGGCACGAAAGCGUGGGGAGCAAACAGG